AUGAACACUGUCAGAUUGUUCGGGCAACAGUGCUGCAGAAGGCUCACACGCAGAAGCUGCUAUCACAGCGCAAACAACUUAAAAUACCAACCCUGUGGCUGCCAAGACUUCGAAUGGACAGUGCAUCCUCAACUCCCUGAUAAGAACAGAAACAAACAGAGCAUAAGUUUGAGGGUGACUGCAUGAAGGCAAUGAGGAAAAGUAUCAGGGGCAAGCUUAUCGGUUAUUACAAACCAGAGAAGGUCGACGAUGACUGGACCGGUGGGAAUACCGGGCCCUUUCGGAAUCUUCCUGGGAAAGGAGAAAGCACAUGGAGAGUUAAUCGCUGAACGGAGGCUUGUCUUUGUCUAUCACAGCAACUGAGCAAAGAACAGUCGGUUAAGGUCACCAACAUGCUCCUGAUGGGGACGCCCAGUUUACAAACGGAAACCCCGGCCACACGCUAGGACUAUCUGGAGGCCCACAAAGACCGAGGCCCUUUCAGCUUGGUCCUUUCACCUCCCAACCCACUGGCAGACGUGGUGCUCUCCCCAACCCUUGAAUUCUGGCUCUGCCAGGGGCUGAGCAAGUUGCUGACUUCACCAAUCCUUCGUCACCCGACCCAGAAAAUGGAGAUGGUGGUACCUCUCCUAUCGUGCGAAAUGCUGACAUAUGUGAAAGCACUCACACAGCGCUGGCAUACGCAGGCGUACUCAGAGUUAGCAUCCUUCCUGAGCCCCGUGCCCUCGCUUUCCCUGUUCACUUCCCAACAUCCCACACACACGCGCGCGCGCGCGCACACACACAAAGUGUUAAACUUAGGAGAAAUUUCUAACACAGGAGGAUUUUUCCUUCUGGUAACAGACAAUCCUACUUUUUGUAUAUGUUUGGUUUAUUAUACAUUUAUUAUUCUUUAUAUUUUAUAUAGUGACUAUUACAUGCCAACUUCUAUAGGUUCACAAACAGAAAGCAGUCAUACAGACAGAGCUAAGGUGAGAAGUGAAAGGAAAAAUUAGUUUGAAAAGAGUAAAAGCAAGUGUCCGAAGGGGUUAAGUGGUCACUGUUCCCCUCUGAAACUAAACCCCAUGUUCUCUGCAAGUCCCAGCUAUCAUUCAGGACUUGAGUUAGUCACCAUUUACAUUCUAAGCCUCCAAACCCAAAAACACUCCCCCUUCUGUGACAAUCUAGUGCAUUCACUGCCUGAACUGCACACAUUUCACAGAGAUAAAAAAAAAAAAGUAUGUUUAUCUUCACGGCCUUUGAA